UGGGGAAUAUUGGACAAUGGGGGCAACCCUGAUCCAGCAAUUCUGUGUGCACGAAGACGGUUUUCGGAUUGUAAAGUGCUUUCAGCAGGGAAGAAGGAAGUGACGGUACCUGCAGAAGAAGCGACGGCUAAAUACGUGCCAGCAGCCGCGGUAAUACGUAUGUCGCGAGCGUUAUCCGGAAUUAUUGGGCAUAAAGGGCAUCUAGGCGGCCUAACAAGUCAGGGGUGAAAACCUGCGGCUCAACCGCAGGCUUGCCUUUGAAACUGUAAGGCUGGAGUAUCGGAGAGGUGGACGGAACUGCACGAGUAGAGGUGAAAUUCGUAGAUAUGUGCAGGAAUGCCGAUGAUGAAGAUAGUUCACUGGACGAUAACUGACGCUGAAGUGCGAAAGCCGGGGAGCAAACA
rnacentral:rRNA from 1 species